UACGGAGGGUGCGAGCGUUAAUCGGAAUUACUGGGCGUAAAGCGCUCGUAGGCGGUAUGUCAAGUCAAGGGUGAAAUCCCCGCGCUCAACGUGGGAACUGCCUUUGAAACUGGCAAACUGGAGUGUGUGAGAGGAUAGUGGAAUUCCAGGUGUAGGAGUGAAAUCCGUAGAUAUCUGGAGGAACAUCAGUGGCGAAGGCGACUAUCUGGCACAUAACUGACGCUGAGGAGCGAAAGCGUGGGUAGCAAACAGG
rnacentral:ncRNA from 3 species